rnacentral:rRNA from 1 species
GAUGAACGCUAGCGGUGCGCCUAACACAUGCAAGUCGAACGGCAGCACAGGAGAGCUUGCUCUCUGGGUGGCGAGUGGCGGACGGGUGAGGAAUACAUCGGAAUCUACUCUGUCGUGGGGGAUAACGUAGGGAAACUUACGCUAAUACCGCAUACGACCUACGGGUGAAAGCAGGGGAUCUUCGGGCCUUGCGCGAUUGAAUGAGCCGAUGUCGGAUUAGCUAGUUGGCGGGGUAAAGGCCCACCAAGGCGACGAUCCGUAGCUGGUCUGAGAGGAUGAGCAGCCACACUGGAACUGAGACACGGUCCAGACUCCUACGGGAGGCAGCAGUGGGGAAUAUUGGACAAUGGGCGCAAGCCUGAUCCAGCCAUACCGCGUGGGUGAAGAAGGCCUUCGGGUUGUAAAGCCCUUUUGUUGGGAAAGAAAUCCAGCUGGCUAAUACCCGGUUGGGAUGACGGUACCCAAAGAAUAAGCACCGGCUAACUUCGUGCCAGCCGCCGCCGUAA